CCCCAUGUUUGUGUGUCUCUCUCUCCGGGAAAAAGGGGAACAGAGGGCAGCAGAAAUGCUGUGUAAGGCUUGAACCAGAAGAGGUUUGUUUUGAGGAGGAGCUUGAAAGAACAUGGUGGUGGCUUUUUCCUGCCUAUGAUUUUGGCCUGUUGCAUGACCUAAGGUCCCCACUGCAGACCCCUUGCUGGUGUCCAUGCAGGAAAGUGGCAUGAGCUCCUGGACCACGGUGCCACUCAGCCCCUCUCCAACAGCAAAGAUGGCCCAGAAUCUGGACUCAUCACUUAAAAAUCA